UACGUAGGGUGCGAGCGUUGUCCGGAAUUAUUGGGCGUAAAGGGCUCGUAGGCGGUUUGUCGCGUCGGGAGUGAAAACCUUGGGCUUAACCCCGUGCCUGCUUCCGAUACGGGCAGACUAGAGGUAUGCAGGGGAGAACGGAAUUCCUGGUGUAGCGGUGAAAUGCGCAGAUAUCAGGAGGAACACCGGUGGCGAAGGCGGUUCUCUGGGCAUUACCUGACGCUGAGGAGCGAAAGUGUGGGGAGCGAACAGG
rnacentral:rRNA from 1 species